rnacentral:rRNA from 1 species
UACAGAGGUCUCAAGCGUUGUUCGGAUUCAUUGGGCGUAAAGGGUGCGUAGGCGGCGCGGUAAGUCGGGUGUGAAAUCUCGGAGCUUAACUCCGAAACUGCAUUCGAUACUGCCGUGCUUGAGGACUGGAGAGGAGACUGGAAUUUACGGUGUAGCGGUGAAAUGCGUAGAUAUCGGGAAGAACACCCGUGGCGAAGGCGGCUCUCUGGGACGGUACUGACGCUGAGACGCGAAAAGCGUGGGGAGCGAACAGG